rnacentral:pre_miRNA from 1 species
CAAGUACUCCCUUCGUCCAGAAUUACUUGUCAUCAAAAUGGAUGUGUCUAGAACUAAAAUACAUCUAGAUACAUCCAUUUCAAUGACAAGUAUUUUCGGACGGAGGGAGUACAAG